UGAAUGAACGAGGGAUGAAGAUAACAAAAAGGAGUCCAAACGUCUUUGUCAAUUAUGGUUUAUCAUUUAGAUUCGAAUUCAAAUCUAAAGUGGUUAGAUUAACGACGUAAGGAAAAGAGGAGGAAGAUCCUUUACAUUUUGGAUAUCUAAACGCCGUAAGAAAGAGAAAGAAAGGAAGAUCGAGAAAUAUAAUCGCCAUACUUCUGAUGAGCCGUACUUCUGAUGUCAUCACUAAGAGCCGUACUUCUGAUGUCAGCACUAAGUGUCUUUGAAAGUCUUGAAAGGAAAGUGUCUUUGAAAGUCUUGAAAGGAAAAGAUAUCAGUUUGUAAUUGGGUUCCAUGGCCAUGGAGUUAGGAGAGCUGAAGAGGAAUUUUGAUGGGCUGAAACUUCUUGCUGAAAAGCAAGAGCGGAGAGUUCGUUACUAUGAGACUAGAGCCCAAAACGUAGCCAUUGCCUGCCUUAUAUGGGACCGCCUGUUCGUCGUUGAUUGAAAUCUCCCUACAGAUUUUGAAUACUGGAAGCCCAAAUGAUGAUGAGGCUGGAGAUACAUUUUCAAGUGAUAAUGGGGGGUUGGAGUUGAGUUUCCAGGUUCAGUUACUUCAGUACCAUCCACUUACAGUUGUCCAGAGAAAAAUUUAUAUUGCUUCCACUAUUUCUACUCUGCUUGCUGUUUCUGCUUUUGAAGUAUACACCUGUAAGCUCUUGUUAUGCAAUUCAAACUGAACAUUCAUCUGGUGACCUACUGCUAAGCUUACAAUUUGUUUCAAGUAUUGUGUUGUGGUUAUAAAAUCUCCAUAUUAGAGAUUAUUGUCGUAGAAAUAAAGAAUUUGAGGUAAUCGAGUUCCAUAGGGAAAUGUUAUGUUUAUGUUAUAUUAAUUUAAGGAUGUUGGGUUGGGUUUUCUACUUUGUAUGGUUGUAAAAGUAGAGCUACACAUUAAUUAUAAACGGUCCUAUAUUUGUUUUAUGCUUUGUUGACGGAAAUAAUAUGAUACACAUACAUCCACUGAGCUUUCCCUUUUCCUUCUCAACAUCUGACUUAGUAAAUUCAGUCCAUAUAAUCAUUGCUCUUUCAAUUUUACUUGAAAUGCACAGCAAUGUCAAUUAAACAAAUAAAAUUGUGCUUCUAUUCAUGUUUUCAGCAAGAUCGAAAACAAGCUCAAUAAUUAAUUUUAUUUGUGAAUAUCUUCGAUAACUAAGAGGUCAUAGGUUUAAUCCAUGGUGGCCACUACCUAAAAAUUAAUUUUUUUACAAGUUUCUUUAACACCCAAAAUAUUGUAGAGUCAGGCGAGUCGUCCUACGGUAUUAGUCGAGGUGCACGUAAGUUUGUCUAGACACUCAAGGAUAUAGAAAACAAUUGUGAAUAUCCUCAGGUAGCCAAUCUUCUCCAUUACUUGGACAAUAGCAAAAUAUUAAACAGCCGUCUAUCAAUUGAGUUGGGUUCAACUAUUGGAACUUUUCAAACUUUGUCUCAAACAGCUUCCAGAAAGAAACCUGGUCUAAAGUCAGAACCCACUCUUUUUCCAGCGUUACUUCAAGUACAACCUGGAUUUUAACUUGCCAUUGUGAUAAUUGUUAUGGGUAAUCUAGGUAGGUUACUUAAUAUCUUACUGUUGUUGACAGAGUAGAAACCUAAGUAAAAUUUUGGAAUGCAAUUCUUUCACACAAAUUAUAGCUAUCACACAACACAUCCUAGCAAUCACAGAGACAAGAGUAAAUUAACAGAUGUAGAAACAACAAUAAAACAUAGGAAGUUGGUAAACCAGUUUGGUGAUACACUUACGUCUGGAAGGCAAUGUGCAUAGGAAAAAUGAUCCGUUAAUAUAAUUAAGUUAAGCGAUUACAAUGGUGUACUUAUCUGUAGCUAAUGAAGAUUACAAUGACAGAGCUUAACUCAUCUAGACCCCUCCUAGACGUGAGACUCCCUCUUGAACUUAAACUCCUCCCAAGUAUGUGGAUAUUAGUGGUGUAGAAUUUAGGUUUCCCUAAGUGUGUGAGACUCUCUAUCACUUGAAGAUACUUUACUUCUUUUACACGUGAACUCCUUUCACUUGAGAAACUCAGGCAAUUUUCUUGGUUAUUAGCAUAUUUCAGGAUCUAGCUCCUAUUUUCUCUACUGUAUUGUUUCGUUGCCUUUGCUGCGAACUUUUGUUCUUUUUUUUUGUUCAAUAUCUUUUUCAGCUCAACUUGUCUGCUUUGCUGACUGAUUUUCUUCAUGUUUUUCCACGUUAUCUUAGCUAUGCUGUUUUGAGUACUACGCUUAUUUGAAAACGAGGUUUGGUUUAUAAUUUUAUUGUUUGAUUCAAUGCACUCAUUCCUGGUUUUUUAUGCUAUAGGAAUGGAUGUUACACUUGUUGAAUUGGAUGCCGGUAAAUAUGCUCAGAUGAGUUAAUCCAUAGCCAUACCGAUUCCUGACCUCCAAGGCGAUAGUAAAGUUAAAGAGAUAACAUCAGAGGCCAAAGCGUUUCUUACUUUGGGAUUGGCUGAGCCUUCGACAAAAAAGAAAUGUGAAGAACACGCUGAAUGGACGGACAAGACAUGGUAUACAACUAAAAGAAUUUGAAUCCACACAAUACAAACAUUGUGACAUGGAGCAGGAAGAUGAUUAUGAUGGUGAUGGAACACAUGGCUCUUGUCUAGAUUUUGAGAAUAUGGAAGAAACAUACAACUACGAACAAGAUUAUGGUUAUGAUGAAUACGGUAGAGACCAAUCUCUCUUGACUAUUCAUAUUUAGCCAUUUGAAAUUGCAAGCUAAUGUUGGUUGUCCAUAGUUAUAGUUAUUCUUCAUGUUGCUACCCCUGUGUUCAGUUAGAUGAACAUUAGCAUGGAGUUUGUAUGAUCUUUGAUUUUCUUGUAUCAUUUCUAUAAAUCACAUGUGAGCUUUCAGUGUUCAUUUGUCAUAAAUUUUUGGAAGGAAAAUAGAUAAGUUAACACAACAUCCAUUUGCUGGAUUUCUUCCCCUUAAAAUGCAACAUAAGG